AAAUAAAUGCAAGAACAUUUAGGACAGAGAAAUACACAAAUAAACAAUACAAUCGUACAUUUCAACAUUCUAACAACAAAAUAGAAAUAAACACGUAAAACAACAGAACAGCACAACAGAAUCACGAACUGUCCGUCACACGACCGUAUCAGCACCACACAAUUGACGUCACAGGUUAAAAUAAAUGUAAUAUAAUUCAAGAUCUAAUCUAUAUAAAAACGACAAACACUUAUAAAUCUAUGUAAAACAAUGUUAAAAAGACAACCACAACCUUUGACAAUAAGGUGUCAAACAAAACAACGCACACGGGCAUACUCAAAUACAAAACCCCUGCUGCCUAGAAAACGGCAUAACCAAACCACACAACAAACAAAAGAACUGGAAUGAAAACCAAUUUUCACACCAAAUACAUAUCAAAGGCGGAACACAUA
rnacentral:lncRNA from 1 species